CUGUAGUCCCAGCUACUUGAGGUGCUGAGGCAGGAGAAUUGCUUGAACCUGGGAGGCGGAGGCUCCAGUGAGCUGAGAUUGCGCCACUGCACUCCAGCCUGGGUGACAGAGCAAGACUCUAUCUCAAAAAAAAAAAAAAAGAAUACCAGUCAUAUUGGAUUGGGGUCCACUCUAAUGACCCCUUCUUAAAUUGAUUACAUCUAUAAAGACCCCAUUCCCAAAUAAGGGGAAUUCACAUUCACAGGUAUUCAACCUUAGAACUUCAACAGAUCUUUAUGAGGAACACAAUUUAACCCAUAACUCUAACCUAGCAUUGAAGCAUCUCAUUGGCAGAACCUCAUUCACAUCCAGCCAAGCAGUCUGGGAAACACAGUGCUAGCUUUCAGACUCUCCAAAUAGAGUGAGGUUGAAUAGAAAGAGGAGAGCCUGCCUGUGUGUCCAGCCCAGUAGGCCACUGUACAAGCACUAUCAUGUUCUGGCUGAACAGACGAUGUAAUUGUGCUACACAGAAUGAGAGAUGGUUCAGGGGAGUGGUUAGCAGCACGGGCUCUGAUGACUGAGUGUUAGCCCUUCCCCUGCUGGCUAUGAGGCCUUGGACUAGUUACUUCUGCUCUGUAAUCCUCAGUUUCCCCACCUGUAAAUGUGAAUAAUAAUCACAGCCAUUUCUCAGGGUUUAAGUGAGGGUUAAAUGAGACAAUGGACUCAAAGUCCCAGGGGCCAGGCCUACAGUAAGCAGUCUACAGAUGAUAACUUCUAUUAAAUUACCAAACUUAUUAGGUUUUUUCUGUGUCCCACCUUGGUAGAGAAUUGGAUGAACCAGAAGCAGAGACGCACUGUAUAGAAGAGUCCCCAGAAUAUUUAGAACCUUUUGUAAACAUCAGAAACUCCAAAAAUGCCAGCCAAGGUGUAAAUUUUCUGAGGCUCAGACUGCUUCCUGGCUGGAGAGAAUUUUCCCUGGUCUGCACUGUCCUUUCUGGUGCAGGGUGCCAAAGAGUGGGGAGCCCAUGAACCUGCGUGGUAGGUGAAGUAGGAACUGUUAUCCCCAUUUUACAGACUAUAUAAAG
rnacentral:lncRNA from 1 species